GAGCUACUCCCUCCGUUCGGAAUUACUUGUCACAUAAAUGGAUGUAUCUAGACGUAUUUUAAUUCUAGAUACAUCCAUUUUCGAGACAAGUAAUUCCGAACAGAGGGAGUAUAUG
rnacentral:pre_miRNA from 1 species